rnacentral:lncRNA from 1 species
AGGAAGGGAGGGAGAGAGAAAGAGAGAGAGAGAGAAAGAGAGAGAGAGAGAGAGAGAGAAAGAGAGAGAGAGAGAGAGAGAGAGAGAGAAGAGAAAUGGUAUCAGGGCCAGCAAAGCACCAGAGAUUGUCUCCUGUCAUCAGAAUUGAUAAUCUGCCCUAUUGCCCAAGUUCAUGGUACACAGCCAAUAAUUCAGGUCACGAAGAGUUUCUUCAAUGCUUGUACGGCAUGAUUUUAUGUUGAUUAUCUGUGCAGUUUUAUUCAUGAUAAUCUGUGAGUAAAAGGAGAGACUAAAUCUGAAGAAAGCUCCAACAUUUAUACCAUGCUUAGCAACGCGCCAACAUUCUUCCCCAGAUGACAGUCAUUGUCAUCAACAAGUAAGCAUCAGAGAAAAGGCACAAAAACAACAGGCAAACAAGAAAAUAAACACUGUGGUGAAGAGAUUACAAUCUGGGCUUUUUUCCCUUUAUUUCAGUGAGAAUAACAUGCUAUCUCUGGGACACAUUUUACCUUUUCAUGUUAACCGGUCAGUGGAGGUCUGGAAUAAAAGUGUACGAUUCUUUUUUCCAACAUAAAACAAGAUUUUCUAAGAAAAAUAAUAAUCUGCACUGAGAUUUUUUCAUGUUGGGUAGAAGAAGUCGCUACAUUCAUGUUUUUAUAUGAAAAUGUCAAAUGGUCAAUGCUGCUUUUUGUUUCCCAAAUAAUUUUGGUAGUGGUUGGAAAGUGAAAAAUUAAAAAAUAUGUUCUCUAUGGAAAGCUCAUGGAUUCUGUAUCUCAGAGUUAGAAAAGUUUCAGACUUUUUAGGACAGCCAUACACACACAUAUACACACGCAUGCAUGCACACAUGCAUAUAUGCACAUACACUCACACACAUGCACACACACAUGCACACAUACACUUGCACACAAGCACACAUACUCACAUGCACAUACUCACAUGCACACACAUGCACACAGACAAGCACAUACACUCACAAAUGCACACUAACAUACACAUGCACAUGCCACACACACAUGCACACACACACACACACACACACACACAUACACACACACCUGCCUACCUGAUUCAUCUUCACCGGGUUGGUACUAAUCUCUGCCUGGUCACUCCUAUCUGCUUCCCAUUCAUCUGUCUGGUCUUGGCUAUCCUAGAAAGCCCAGAGUCUCCAGUCUCACUGAACCAGGUCUGUGUCUUUCUCGCCCAACUUUGUUCGUUAUGUGGGAGUGAGGGACUUACCUUCUUCACCCCGUGUUAGUUCCUGAAGUGCAGAGCUGAGCCUGCAUCUCUAGUGACUUCUGUGUGCCUAACACCUGCUACCUCGUAGGCCAUCACAGCUGUUUCAUGAGUGGCUUUGAAGUGGACAUUGAGCCUAUUAGCCAGUGUGGCUGGAAACAGCAAGGAGUAAAGCAGGUACAAGCAGAGGGAGAGCCAAGCUUCAGUUCGGUUCCAACCUGAGUCUGGUGGAAACUUUAUUGAACUCCAGCCAUUUCUAACUGAGGAAUCCCUGGGUGUUUCUAUGCCCACGUUGACUGGUAGUUUCCAAGGUUGGCACCCUUGAAGGGCUGUGGACUAGAGUUGUCUGUCUUUGGUAGGGCAGUUUCUGAAGGGAGCUUGAUACCUGAGGGCCACUUGCCGGUAGCACUUCUAGCAACUGAAGAAUCCUUUCCUAUAAGGGGACCUGGGAUCUAUAUCUUAGUACAUAUGACUUUUUGUGACAUUAACUAAAGGGAAGAAAAUGCCUAUGGAUUGGGGGCAUAGGGAGUAAGAAGAAAUGAAACAAUUAGGCAAUUUCAAAUUUUAAUAGGAGAGAUUUUAAGUAAAACAGAGUUUCCUCUGAAUAAGAAGACAUGACUCUCAGAGACCCCGUGAGAUUAAAUUAAGACCUGGGAAUAUAGCUCAGUGGCAGAAUGUGUGCUUUGCAUGUGUAAGCCUUUGCAUUCUGUCUUUAGCAACACACACACACACAAAUCCAUAUCUAUAGACAUGCACACAGUAAUGCACAAACAAAUACAC